rnacentral:rRNA from 1 species
GAUGACGAGGCACUACGGUGCUGAAGCAACAAAUGCCCUGCUUCCAGGAAAAGCCUCUAAGCAUCAGGUAACAUCAAAUCGUACCCCAAACCGACACAGGUGGUCAGGUAGAGAAUACCAAGGCGCUUGAGAGAACUCGGGUGAAGGAACUAGGCAAAAUGGUGCCGUAACUUCGGGAGAAGGCACGCUGAUAUGUAGGUGAAGCGACUUGCUCGUGGAGCUGAAAUCAGUCGAAGAUACCAGCUGGCUGCAACUGUUUAUUAAAAACACAGCACUGUGCAAACACGAAAGUGGACGUAUACGGUGUGACGCCUGCCCGGUGCCGGAA